AGUGAACGCUGGCGGUAGGCCUAACACAUGCAAGUCGAACGGCAGCACAGGAGAGCUUGCUCUCUGGGUGGCGAGUGGCGGACGGGUGAGGAAUACAUCGGAAUCUACUCUGUCGUGGGGGAUAACGUAGGGAAACUUACGCUAAUACCGCGUACGACCUACGGGUGAAAGCAGGGGACCUUCGGGCCUUGCGCGAUUGAACGAGCCGAUGUCGGAUUAGCUAGUUGGCGGGGUAAAGGCCAACCAAGGCGACGAUCCGUAGCUGGUCUGAGAGGAUGAUCAGCCACACUGGAACUGAGACACGGUCCAGACUCCUACGGGAGGCAGCAGUGGGGAAUAUUGGACAAUGGGCGCAAGCCUGAUCCAGCCAUACCACGUGGGUGAAGAAGGCCUUCGGGUUGUAAAGCCCUUUUGUUGGGAAAGAAAUCCAGCUGGCUAAUACCCGGUUGGGAUGACGGUACCCAAAGAAUAAGCACCGGCUAACUUCGUGCCAGCCGCCGCCGUAA
rnacentral:rRNA from 1 species